GGGCAUGUGGUGUAGUUGGUUAUCACGCUCGCUUAGCAUCCUAAACACUUGCUUGCGAGAGGGGUCCGGUUCAAUCCCGGACAUGUCCA